rnacentral:misc_RNA from 1 species
GUAGGUGAACCUGCGGAAGGAUCAUUAAAGAAUCGCCCCGUUUUUUGAAAUGGGUUCUAUUCCCAAACCGUGUAUACAUAUCUUUGUUGCUUUGGCAGGCCGCCUCUCGAGGCGUCGGCUUCGGCUGACUGCGCUUGCCAGAGGCCCAAAACUCUGUGUUUAGUGAUGUCUGAGUACUAUAAAAUAUUUAAAACUUUCAACAACGGAUCUCUUGGUUCUGGCAUCGAUGAAGAACGCAGCAUCUGACUGA